rnacentral:lncRNA from 1 species
UCUCUUUUCUUAGAGAGCCUAUAUAUAGAUUUUUUUUCCUCCAUGGUUCUUAAAAGUUGAUAUAAUCUGCCAAAAAAUUGGACUCUCACUUCACUCUCCCCGUUAGGUAUCAUUCUUAAUUUUCUUAUACUUUUUUCAAAUUUCAGCAUUUUUACACCUAAAUCAUUCUUUAUAACAAUCAUCUUUUACUCUAACUUUACUCGAAACACUUUAAUUCCACUACCACUAUUCU